rnacentral:rRNA from 1 species
CCUACGGGCGGCAGCAGUAGGGAAUCUUCCACAAUGGGCGAAAGCCUGAUGGAGCAACGCCGCGUGGGUGAAGAAGGUCUUCGGAUCGUAAAACCCUGUUGUUAGAGAAGAAAGUGCGUGAGAGUAACUGUUCACGUUUCGACGGUAUCUAACCAGAAAGCCACGGCUAACUACGUGCCAGCAGCCGCGGUAAUACGUAGGUGGCAAGCGUUAUCCGGAUUUUUUGGGCGUAAAGGGAACGCAGGCGGUCUUUUAAGUCUGAUGUGAAAGCCUUCGGCUUAACCGGAGUAGUGCAUUGGAAACUGGGAGACUUGAGUGCAGAAGAGGAGAGUGGAACUCCAUGUGUAGCGGUGAAAUGCGUAGAUAUUAGGAAGAACACCAGUGGCGAAGGCGGCUUUCUGGACUGAAACUGACGCUGAGGCUCGAAAGCGUGGGGAGCGAACAGGAUUAGAUACCCUUGUAGUC